UACGGAAGGCAGCAGUGGGGAAUAUUGCACAAUGGGCGAAAGCCUGAUGCAGCUAUGCCGCGUGUAUGAAGAAGGCCUUAGGGUUGUAAAGUACUUUCAUCGGGGAGGAAAAACAAAACUAAUAAUUUUAUUUCUUGACGUUACCCGAAAAAGAAGCACCGGCUAACUCCGUGCCAGCAGCCGCGGUAAUACGGAGGGUGCUAGCGUUAAUCAGAAUUACUGGGCGUAAAGAGCACGUAGGUGGUUUUUUUAAGUCAGAUGUGAAAUCCCUGGGCUUAACCUAGGAACUGCAUUUUGAAACUGAAAUACUAGAGUAUCGUAGAGGGAGGUAGAAUUCUAGGUGUAGCGGUGAAAUGCGUAGAUAUCUGGAGGAAUACCUGUGGCGAAAGCGGCCUCCUAAACGAAUACUGACACUGAGGGUGCGAAAGCGUGGGGAGCAAACGAGGGAUUAGACUACC
rnacentral:rRNA from 1 species